CAAGAAUAUGUAAAACUGACAGUUGUGUAAUCAUGAAGCUUCUUUUUGGUUUUGCGGCAACCCUGUUGUUGGGUCAAAUUGGCAUCACCCUUGGGGACCAGUGUUCAGAUUGCGUCCAAAGGGUGACACAAUUCAACAAAUAUUUUAGCGGAGAAGCCGGCAUUGCUGGCGAGAUUAUUCUCUUCACUGAAGGGUUUUGUAACAUGGAAAGUGAUCCCCCUGCUUGUGCCAAAGGAGUGGAAACAUGGUGGCCUAAAAUGUCAGAAUUGUUGUUUGGCAACAAAGAUGCUCCCAAAGCCACGUGUGUCGACAUGAACCAAUGUGACGAUACGGAUGUUGCAGAUAUAAAGGCAGACGAUUGGACUUGUGUUGAUUGUGCCAAAUUUGUAAUGGAUAUUGGCAGCGUUCUUCUUAACAACCGGAGAGUGCCCAACAUGCACAGGAUUUUCUGGACGGGAAAGCUUUUUGUCAAAAUACUUCUAUUACUUCCGAUUCCUCCACAUGCAAAAUGUAUGUAGAUGAGUUCAUUCCAAGGCCUUCAAGCAAUUGGCUUUUGAUUUGAUCAAGCAUCGAAGAACGUGUGCAAUGUUGUUUUCAACAUUUGUCCUUAAGAUAAUAACAACCAGUUUAAAAUUGA